rnacentral:lncRNA from 1 species
AGUGUGCUCAGCACGUGGAAUGGCUUCUUCACUUCGCUGUGCUUUGUUGGGGCUCUCAUUUGAGAAACAUUUUUGUUCUUAUACUCAGAUUUUUGUCAAACAGAGUUGAGCCAGAGGAACAGUCCAGGGUGGCAGAGGGACACACCAGGAAGGAGCAGGAGAGAUGACCCAGGGAGGAUCCAGGGACGACCCAGAGACAAUCCUUAGAACUCAAAGUCAAAAGUGUUCUUGGAUGGACGAUUUAUUUUGGAAUGGAGCUCCCCUCUCUCAUCAUGUCAACUAAUUUCUGGCAAUUUCUGGCAUCUGUGUCCUUCCUCAGUGAAGUGGAGGGCUGCUGGCAGCUGUGUUUUACACCACACUGCCCUGAAUACUCUAUCAACCUCCUGCUGUGCCACACAUCAUCACAUGAUCACAAAGACCCGAGACCUGAGACUCUUCAUCUCUCGGUGUCUCUUUCACCUAUGAACACAAUAUGAUAAAUCUCGUAGUAAAUACUACAUUUACUAAAAGAAAGUCAAGAAGUGCCCCUAGACAGAUGUGUUUACCCAUUGUAAGGACCACCCAUUGGCCCAAAAACAAAACCCAACGGUUAAGGUUAAGGUACGCUGUAAGGUUUAAGGUUUAAAUUCACUCCUUUUGUUUAUUUAGGAUCAAUUUAAUUUCAUGAUUUAUUUGACUCCAGUUUUAAAUUAUUCUCAAAUUUAAGUUGGAAUAU